rnacentral:rRNA from 1 species
AUUGAACGCUGGCGGCAUGCCUUACACAUGCAAGUCGAACGGCAGCACGGGUGCGUUCACCUGUUGGCGAGUGGGGAACGAGUGAGUAAGACAUCGGAACGUAUGCUGUGGUGGGGGAUAGCCCAGCGAAAGCCGGAUUAGUACAUCAUACGAUCUACGGAUGGAAGCAGGCGGGCGACCGGCCUGUCUCGCGGAGUUUGACCGGUGGCUGUCUAGCUAGUUGGUGGGGUAAAGGCCUACCAAGGCGACGAUCAGUAGCUGGCCUGAGAGGACGACCGGCCACCCUGGGACUGAGAAACGGCCCAGACCCCUCGGGAGGCAAGCAGGGGGAAAUUUGGGACAUGGGGGGAAAGCAUGAUCAAGCAAUCCGGCGUGUGGGAAGAAGCCCUCCGGGUUGUAAAGCAAUUUUGUCAGGAAAGAAAUCCUUGGCUCUAAUACAGCAGGGGAAGGCCGGAACCGGAAGAAUAAGAACGGCUAACUUACGG